AUGCCACUAACUAAUGAAAGCCACCCUGAAGAAUUUAUUCUGCUAGGCUUUGCAGACCGCCCUUGGCUAGAGCUUCCUCUGUUCACUAGUCUUCUUAUAAUGUACCCUAUAGCCGUGAUGGGAAACAUCACAAUCAUUCUCAUGUCCAGGUUAGACUCUCGUCUUCAUAGCCCCAUGUAUUUCUUCCUCACCAACCUCUCCUUUUUGGACAUGUGUUAUACCACAAGCAUUGUCCCUCAGAUGCUGUUUAACCUGGGAAGCUCUAAGAAGACCAUCAGCUAUAUGGGGUGUGCGGUUCAGCUUUAUUUCUUUCACAUAAUGGGGGGAACAGAAUGUUUGCUUUUGGCUAUUAUGUCCUUUGAUCGCUCUGUGGCCAUCUGCAGACCUCUUCACUACACCCUCAUCAUGAAUCAGCGCGUCUGUAUCCUUAGUUUCCACCGUGUGGCUAAUUGGAAUAAUCUAUGCUGUCUCAGAGGCCACUGCCACAUUACAAUUGCCACUGUGUGGUCUCAAUAAACUGGACCACUUGGUGUGUGAGAUUCCUGUUCUGAUAAAGAUUGCCUGUGGUGAAAAGGGUUCUAACGAGCUCACACUCUCUGUGGUAUGCAUUUUUAUGUUAGCUGUCCCACUAUGCUUAAUUCUUGCUUCCUAUGCUAGUAUUGGAAGUGCUGUAUUUAAGAUCAAAUCUUCCAAGGGAAGGAAAAAGGCCUUUGGGACAUGCUCCUCCCAUCUUAUUGUAGUUUUCUUAUUUUAUGGCCCAGCCAUCAGCAUGUACCUUCAGCCCCCCUCCUCCAUCUCAAGGGAUCAACCCAAGUUCAUGGCCCUCUUCUAUGGAGUGGUGACUCCCUCACUCAACCCUUUUAUCUACACCCUGCGGAAUAAGAAUGUAAAGGGGGCAUUACGCAACUUGGUGAGGAGCAUUUUCAGCUUUAAGUGA
rnacentral:lncRNA from 1 species